ACGGGGGGUGCGAGCGUUGUCCGGAAUCACUGGGCGUAAAGGGCGCGUAGGUGGCCUGAUAAGGGUGUGGUGAAAGUCCGGGGCUCAACCCCGGAUCUGCCGUGCCGACUGUUAGGCUAGAGUACUGUAGGGGCAGGCGGAAUUCCGGGUGUAGCGGUGGAAUGCGUAGAGAUCCGGAGGAAGACCGGUGGCGAAGGCGGCGCUCUGGAACGGCCCUGACACUGAGGCUCGAAAGCGUGGGGAGCAAACAGGA
rnacentral:rRNA from 1 species